UACGAAGGGGGCGAGCGUUGUUCGGAAUUACUGGGCGUAAAGGGCGCGUAGGCGGCGACCCAAGUCAGAUGUGAAAGUCCUGGGCUUAACCUGGGGACUGCAUUUGAUACUGGGCUGCUUGAAUUCGGGAGAGGAUAGCGGAAUUCCCAGUGUAGAGGUGAAAUUCGUAGAUAUUGGGAAGAACACCGGUGGCGAAGGCGGCUAUCUGGACCGACAUUGACGCUGAGGCGCGAAAGCGUGGGGAGCAAACAGG
rnacentral:rRNA from 1 species